rnacentral:rRNA from 1 species
AACUUUCAACAACGGAUCUCUUGGCUCUGGCAUCGAUGAAGAACGCAGCGAAAUGCGAUAAGUAAUGUGAAUUGCAGAAUUCAGUGAACCAUCGAAUCUUUGAACGCACAUUGCGCCCGCCAGUAUUCUGGCGGGCAUGCCUGUUCGAGCGUCAUU